rnacentral:rRNA from 1 species
AGUGAACGCUGGCGGUAGGCCUAACACAUGCAAGUCGAACGGCAGCACAGUAAGAGCUUGCUCUUACGGGUGGCGAGUGGCGGACGGGUGAGGAAUACAUCGGAAUCUACUUUUUCGUGGGGGAUAACGUAGGGAAACUUACGCUACUACCUCAUACGACCUACGGGUGAAAGCAGGGGAUCUUCGGACCUUGCUCGUUUUAAUGAGCCGAUGUCGGAUUAGCUAGUUGGCGGGGUAAAGGCCCACCAAGGCGACGAUCCGUAUCUGGUCUGAGAGGAUGAACAGCAACAAUGGAACUGAGACACGGUCCAGACUCCUAAGGGAGGCAGCAGUGGGGAAUAUUGGACCAAGGGCGCAAGCCUGAACCAGCCAUACCGCGUGGGUGAAUAAGGACUUCGAGUUGUAACGACCUUUUGUUGGGAAAGAAAAGCAGCAGGUUAAUACCCCGCUGUUCUGACGGUACCAAAAGAAUAAGCACCGGCUAACUUCGUG